rnacentral:rRNA from 1 species
AUACGGAGGGUGCGAGCGUUGUUCGGAAUUACUGGGCGUAAAGGGCGCGUAGGCUGUUUAUCAAGUCGGGUGUGAAAGUCCACGGCUCAACCGUGGAAGUGCAUCCGAAACUGAUAGACUUGAGUACUGGAGAGGAAAGUGGAAUUCCUGGCGUAGAGGUGAAAUUCGUAGAGAUCAGGAGGAACACCGGUGGCGAAGGCGACUUUCUGGACAGAUACUGACGCUGAGGCGCGAAAGCGUGGGGAGCAAACAGGAUUAGAAACCCCGGUAGUCC